rnacentral:rRNA from 1 species
GAUGAACGCUGGCGGCGUGCCUAAUACAUGCAAGUCGAGCGAACUGAUUGGAAGCUUGCUUCUAUGACGUUAGCGGCGGACGGGUGAGUAACACGUGGGCAACCUGCCUGUAAGACUGGGAUAACUUCGGGAAACCGAAGCUAAUACCGGAUAGGAUCUUCUCCUUCAUGGGAGAUGAUUGAAAGAUGGUUUCGGCUAUCACUUACAGAUGGGCCCGCGGUGCAUUAGCUAGUUGGUGAGGUAACGGCUCACCAAGGCAACGAUGCAUAGCCGACCUGAGAGGGUGAUCGGCCACACUGGGACUGAGACACGGCCCAGACUCCUACGGGAGGCAGCAGUAGGGAAUCUUCCGCAAUGGACGAAAGUCUGACGGAGCAACGCCGCGUGAGUGAUGAAGGCUUUCGGGUCGUAAAACUCCGUUGUUAGGGAAGAACAAGUACGAGAGUAACUGCUCGUACCUUGACGGUACCUAACCAGAAAGCCACGGCUAACUACGUGCCAGCCGCCGCAGUAAUAC